AGGUAGAUAGGGCAGGGGUGGAAGCACAGCAAUGUGUGGAGCUGACUGUUACUAAUCGGUCGAGGGCUUGACCAAGAA
rnacentral:rRNA from 1 species